rnacentral:rRNA from 1 species
GUUGCGCUAAUACCGCAUAUUCUGUGAGCAGGAAAGCAGGGGACCGCAAGGCCUUGCGCUCUUUUGAGCGGCCGAUGUCAGAUUAGCUAGUUGGUGAGGUAAACGGGCUUUACCAAGGCGACGAUCUGUAGCGGGUCUGAGAGGAUGAUCCGCCACACUGGAACUUGAGACACGGUCCAGACUCCUACGGGAGGCAGCAGUGGGAAUUUUGGACAAUGGGGCAACCCUGAUCCAGCCAUGCCGCGUGAGUGAAGAAGGCCUUCGGGUUGUAAAGCUCUUUCGGCCGGGAAGAAAUCGCAUGGGUUAAUACCCUGUGUGGAUGACGGUACCGGCAUAAGAAGCACCGGCUAACUACGUG